rnacentral:piRNA from 1 species
GAGAAGCCAGAAAAUCCCCUUGUAAG